rnacentral:rRNA from 1 species
GAUGAACGUUGGCGGUGUGCCUAAUACAUGCAAGUCGAACGGAGAUUGUAGCAAUACGGUCUUAGUGGCGAACGGGUGAGUAACGCGUUGGUGAUCUGCCUCGAAGUGUGGAAUAACGAUUCGAAAGAAUCGCUAAUACCGCAUAGUCUCUCUUUUUCCAGAAAUUUGAGAGUAAAGGAUUUAUUCGCUUUGAGAGGAGCCUGCGUCCCAUCAGCUAGUUGGUAAGGUAAUGGCCUACCAAGGCGAUGACGGGUAGGGGACCUGAGAGGGUGGCCCCCCAAAUGGAACUGAAACACGGUCCAUACACCUACGGGUGGCAGCAGUAGGGAAUAUUAGAAAUGGACGAAAGUCUGAUCUAGCAACACCGCGUGUGCGAAGAAGGCCCUUGGGUUGUAAAGCACUUUUUGGAAGGAUUAGGAAGGAAUGUACUUCCAGAAUAAGUCUCGGCUAACUACGUGCCAGCAGCCGCGGUAAGAGUACUCUAU